rnacentral:rRNA from 1 species
CAGUAGCCACGGGAAUACGAAGGGGGCUAGCGUUGUUCGGAAUCACUGGGCGUAAAGGGUGCGUAGGCGGAUUCUUAAGUCAGAGGUGAAAUCCCGAGGCUCAACCUCGGAACUGCCUUUGAUACUGGGGAUCUUGAGUACGGAAGAGGUGAGUGGAACUGCGAGUGUAGAGGUGAAAUUCGUAGAUAUUCGCAAGAACACCGGUGGCGAAGGCGGCUCACUGGUCCAGAACUGACGCUGAGGCACGACAGCGUGGGGAGCAAACAGGAUUAGAUACCCCUGUAGUCCCUGUCUCUUAUAC